CGUCUAUAUACGUAUAGCAUAUCAAUAAGCGGAGGAAAAGAAACUAACAAGGAUUCCCCUAGUAACGGCGAGUGAAGCGGGAAGAGCUCAAAUUUGAAAUCUUAAAGGUUUCCCUUGACGAAUUGUAGUUUAAAGAAGUGUUUUCUGUUGGAGUUUUGGUAAAAGUUCUUUGGAAUAGGACAUCAUAGAGGGUGAGAAUCCCGUAUUUGACCAUUAUUUCCAGCUGUGUGAUACACUUUCAAAGAGUCGGAUUGUUUGGGAAUGCAGUCCAAAAUGGGUGGUAAAUUUCAUCUAAAGCUAAAUACUGGCGAGAGACCGAUAGCGAACAAGUACCGUGAGGGAAAGAUGAAAAGAACUUUGAAAAGAGAGUUAAACAGUACGUGAAAUUGUCAAAAGGGAAGCGUUUGACACCAGUGUUGUUUUCUCGAAAAUCAAUUAAAAAUGGCGGGAUUUUGUGUUGUAUUGACUUUAUCAGCUUUCUGCACUUUUUUCCUGUCUUUUUUAAUGCACUUUUCGUUUAACAAGUCAACAUCAAUUUCUUUUGUUGUAAAAGAGUCAUUGGAGGGUGGCUUUUCUUUCGGAAAAGUGUUUAUAGCCUUUGACUUCUGCAAUCGGAGAGAUUGAGGUCUGCAGCGUAGAUCCUUCGGGGUUAGAUACAUUUGUGCUAAGUUAUAGCCUUUCAUAGACAACUUGUUGACUAUGAUCAGUCAUGUAGCUUACUCGCUUAUGUCAUUUUACCUACGCUUAGGAUGUUGAUCUGUAGUGCGUGCGC
rnacentral:rRNA from 1 species